CCCAGGACAAACAACACACACCAUGUUCUCUACAUCUCUACUGCUCCUGCUGGCAGCUGUUUCCUAUGUCCACAGUUAUGAACUGACUCAGCCUGCUGCCAUGACAGUCCAGCCAGGCCAGAGUCUCUCCAUCCCCUGUAAGACUUCAUAUUCAGUUGCAAGCUACUGGACAGCUUGGAUCCGACAACCUGCAGGAAAAACUCUGGAGUGGAUUGGACAUAUCAGUAAUGGUGGGAGUGCAUAUUACAGCGACAAACUGAAAAAUAAGUUCAGCAUCUCCAGAGACACUUCUACUAACACAAUAACAAUUCAAGGACAAAAUCUGCAAACUGAAGACACAGCUGUGUAUUACUGCGCCAGAGAGUCACAGUGACACAGAACAGUGGAUUCCCCUUACAAAAACUUUAUGAGACAUGAAAUGACUCAAGUUGUCUUCCUGGUUUCUUACAGUUGCUCAUUGAGAAUCCAGAGUCAGUACAGGACAGAGUGACUGACUCCCCAGGUCUCUUCCCCACAGAAGCAGAGGAGGUCAGGGACAGUCCAGAAGAAUCUGGAAAAUAAGAAUAAAUUCAAAUUUAAAUUUUAUUUGUCACAUACACAGUCAUACACAGUACGCUAUGCAGUAAAAUGCUUAGACAACUGCUCGUGACCUUAAAAUAAAAGCCUAAGAAUAAGAAAUAAAUAUGAAAAAUAAAAUAACAGGUAAAUUUAACUAGGAAGCAUAAAAUAUAAAAUUAAAGUUAAAAUAAAAUAACUGUACAACAAAAUACACAAUAUAGAAAAUAUGUGAAGAAAUAUUGAACAAAAAGAAAACAGCUGUAUAAAGUAGGUAUGGAUUUAUGUCAUUUUUGUGGAAUGAAGUUAGAAUAAAUGGUAAAAAGGAAAUGGUAAUGUCCAGGGUUGUGCAAUCCACAUAUUUAAAGUGUCUUGUGCAGUGCAAGUAUGCUUAAAGAAUGUAACUAGGUAAUGUUAUUUUAUGUUGUAAUGUUUAUUAAGCCAGAAUGGUUCAUUUUCCUUUAGGCAUCGCAUGAAAAUGUUGAAAAUGUUAUCCAUAACAGAGAUUACUGGA